GACUCCGUAGCUCAACGGAUAGAGCACCUGCCUUCUAAGCAGGGGGUUGCAGGUUCAAGUCCUGCCGGGGUCGCCA
rnacentral:tRNA from 1 species